AAAAUCCGCUGUAACAAUUCUGAGGCGUGAUGGGGAAGGUCAUUAAGACCGAAGUACAUGACUCCAUGCUUCCAAGAAAAGCAUCUAGAGAGAGGAGUAGUGCCCGUACCGCAAACCGACACAGGUAGAUGAGGAGAGAAUCCUAAGGCCGGCGGAAGAAUUGCAGUUAAGGAACUAGGCAAAUUGACCCCGUAAGUUCGCGAGAAGGGGUGCCUGUGAGAGCAGGCCGCAGAGAAUAGGCCCAAGCAACUGUUUAGCAAAAACACAGGUCUCUGCUAAAGCGUAAGCUGAUGUAUAGGGGCUGACGCCUGCCCGGUGCUGGAAGGUUAAGGGGAACACUUAGCGCAAGCGAAGGUGUGAACUUAAGCCCCAGUAAACGGCGGCCGUAACAAUAACGGUCCUAAGGUAGCGAAAUUCCUUGCCAGGUAAGUUCUGACCCGCACGAAUGGCGUAAUGACUUGGGCACUGUCUCAACUGCAAAUCCGGCGAAGUUGUAGUGCGAGUGAAGAUGCUCGCUACCCGCGAUUGGACGGAAAGACCCCGUAGAGCUUUACUGUAGCUUAGCAUUGAAUUCCGGUAUUGUCUGUACAGGAUAGGUGGGAGACUGGGAAACUAGGGCGUCAGCCUUAGUGGAGUCAACCUUGGGAUACCACCCUGACAGUACUGGGGUUCUAACAGGACGCCAUGAAACUGGUGACUGGACAUAGUUAGGUGGGCAGUUUGACUGGGGCGGUCGCCUCCUAAAAAGUAACGGAGGCGCCCAAAGGUUCCCUCAGAACGGUCGGAAAUCGUUCGUAGAGUGCAAAGGCAGAAGGGAGCCUGACUGCGAGACCCACAAGUCGAGCAGGGACGAAAGUCGGGCUUAGUGAUCCGGUGGUACCUCGUGGGAGGGCCAUCGCUCAACGGAUAAAAGCUACCUCGGGGAUAACAGGCUGAUCUCCCCCAAGAGUCCACAUCGACGGGGAGGUUUGGCACCUCGAUGUCGGCUCGUCGCAUCCUGGGGCUGUAGUAGGUCCCAAGGGUUGGGCUGUUCGCCCAUUAAAGCGGCACGCGAGCUGGGUUCAGAACGUCGUGAGACAGUUCGGUCCCUAUCCGUCGCGGGCGUAGGAAAUUUGAGAGGAGCUGUCCUUAGUACGAGAGGACCGGGAUGGACUGACCUCUGGUGCACCAGUUGUUCUGCCAAGAGCAUAGCUGGGUAGCUAAGUCGGGAAGGGAUAAACGCUGAAAGCAUCUAAGCGUGAAGCCCCCCUCAAGAUGAGAUUUCCCAUAGCAUAAGCUAGUAAGACCCCUUGAAGAACACAAGGUUGAUAGGUCAGAGGUGGAAGUGCGGUAACGUAUGUAGCUGACUGAUACUAAUAGGUCGAGGGCUUGACC
rnacentral:rRNA from 1 species